rnacentral:rRNA from 1 species
UACGGGGGGAGCAAGCGUUGUUCGGAUUUACUGGGCGUAAAGGGCGCGUAGGCGGCCCUCUGCAAGUCGACUGUGAAAUCUCCGGGCUUAACCCGGAAAGGUCAGCCGAUACUGCAGGGCUAGAGUGCAGAAGGGGCAACUGGAAUUCUCGGUGUAGCGGUGAAAUGCGUAGAUAUCGAGAGGAACACCUGCGGCGAAGGCGGGUUGCUGGGCUGACACUGACGCUGAGGCGCGAAAGCUAGGGGAG